UGGAUAAAAGCAGCCUGGCUUUCCACAUGAAGACUGACAAGAACUGGUUAAAUGUGGCCGUUCCUAAGCCUGUACCAGGCAGGUGACAUCACACUCCAAGUAGCUUUGUGACACAGUAGAAAGAAGCCAGAAGAUCCCAGGCCAAGCCCUGGCAUGGCUACACAGUAGCUGUGUGCUGUGGAGUGAGUCACUCACUCUCUCUGAGUCUCCCUUUGCGCUGUCCCCUCCCUGUGUCCCUCUUAGUUGUCCAUCUUGUCUUCCAUCAGGAUAGCAGGCCACAGCUGUACAGUGUCCUCAGGGCACAGAAUUUCCUGAUCCCCACAAACAGCCUCCAACUCCUAUCCAACCUCCGUGAGCCUCAGCCGCUGGCCCAGGCACUGUCUUCCCUGCUGCUUUUAGACAAGCAGGAUUCUAUUUGGUCCCAAGAACUUCAGAGGGAGGUCUCCUGUGCGGGUGUCUAUGUUGAAAUCUAACUACUCCACCCAAGGCCUUCGUAGAGGAAGCAGACGGAGAGAUUGAGUCCAUCUGAGUGGGAAGCUAUAUAAUCUUUACCCCUUCGGGAACUGAGAGACAGCUUCUAGGACUUCACAUCAGCAUGCACCUCACGCCCUAUGCCUGCAGCCCUCUGUGGAGAGGAAGAGUAAGGGGAGGAGCAAGCAGCGCGUGUCUGUGCAUAAGAAGAUUUUUAGGAGAAAACUGGGACCUCCAGUUUCCACCUCUGAAACACUAGAGUCUGGCUGUGGAAAGAGCCAAGUCGAUUGUUCCCGUUACCUCAUCCAAGGCAUUCAGCAAGGUCCCUGGAGUCAGGCAGAAGUGGAAGAAUCCUCCCUCAGCCCCUCCCACUCUCCAUCACGCCCACCCUAUCAUAGCCUUGCUCUUCUCUCUACCCAGAGCAUCCCAGCCUGCCCCACCCUGUUCCCUUUCAUUAUUUCCUGCUAAGUUCCCAGGUCACCCUCUGAGGGGCACCCGUCAUCUACCCUUCCAACCUCUCAACCUUAGCUAGCACAGCUCACCUCACUCCUUCAGUCAUUCAUUCACGCAUCCAUCCAUUCAACAGUUUCCUGAGCACCUCUAUACUUCCUGCACUGUCGUACAUGUGAAAUAUAACAAGGGCCCGGUCACUACCCUGCGUCUUCAGACAGCUCAUACCCAAGGAAGACUGACAGUGACAGUAAGAAAUAGUGUGUGGUAGACAUAGGUCCAGGGCGGGGUUGUGAGGCCAGGGAAGAUCCUGAUCCAGGCUGUGGGUGAUCGGGGUGGGCUUCCUGAAAGAGAAGACACCUAGCGUGAGUCCUGAGCUGGAAAGAGAUUGAGGUGCGUCUGAGUCUAUAUGAGCACAUAUAAUCCAUCAUGUGGCCAGCUAAGACAGCCACUUGUCCCCCGCACAGGCUGGCGGUGUAGAUGGCGGAGUACCUGCCACACAUCCAGCUCCCUGGGGUGCAGACUUUCUGGUUCUACAGGCUGUCUCCCCUUGCUGGAUCUCCAGGACAGUUUUCCCAUGUCUGCCAGUGCCUCUGGUGUGUCAGCCACCACCUCCAGCCUCAGUGGGUUCAGGAACACUCACCUCCCCAAGUGGCUGAGCGAACAGAACAACCUAAGAAAGAGAAGCGCCCAGAGCUCAGCUCCUUGCCUGUCGGUGGAAUGGGAUCCCCCAGAGUCCAGUGACCCCGUUUCUUCAAUCCUCUGCUUACCAGUUGGACAGAGCUGAAGCUGGGCAGAGCCUCCUAUUCACCCAGCCCCCUACAGGAGAGGCAAAGGAGGAAACACCGGCUCUCUCGAGUUCCCGGCUUACUAAUGGAAGGCCUCAGUCAAGCCCCGGUGCCAGGUGCUGCAAGAAUCAAUCAAUAAAUUACCGACAAAUAUUUAUUGAGCUCCUGAAGCAAUAGUGGAGAGUGCUUGUCUCUGUCCAGGGUUUCCUAGGCCAUUCAGCUUCACAGUCUGAGUGGCCCUGUGCCAGCCCUGCAUUAAGCAGAGACACUGUGGUGGGCUGCACAGCUACCUGUUACCCUUUAAAGCUUGCAUUUGAUAGGUUUUUAUUGUGCACCUACUAAGUGCCAGCUGCUAACAAAGUCACUGCAGGUGAAGGGAUGCCAGCAAAUACUGUUCCCAAUCUAUAGGUUCCUGAGGGCUGUGCAGACAACCAAAGAGAGACUGGUCAGACCAUGGCAUGGAGCAAGGCAGUCCUCCCUGAGGAGGAGACAGCUGGGAACCCAGAGAUGAGAAGAUGAGGAAACUGAAGCCAGAGAGAUUAAAAUGCUUUGUUGGAAGCCAAAGAUCGGAGCCCAGGAGCCUGAGGAAAUGACCUCAGUGGUUAGGAGUGUUCGCUGCUCUUUCAGAGGAGUUCCAGCACCCAUACAUAAGUUCAUAGCCAUUCAGUUCUAGGGGAUUCGAUACUCUCUGUCUGGUCUCUUUGCACACCAGUACGUAUAGACAUACACGCAGCCAAACAAGUCCAGGAUAAGAUUCAGAAGUCCCAGUGAUGACCACCCAACCUACCUCCCCCUAGGCUCUAGCAUGCCUUACUAGAACCUUCCCCUAGGAAGCCUUGGCAAAGCACCGAUGGCAUUCUCCCAGCAGCUUAUGGUCUAUGAGCUGCUUCUCCACAGAAGACACUAAUGCCAUUCAGAAAGGGCCACACCAGCUCUGACAUCCAGGGACAGGGUCAUGCUGCUGCAAAUCGGCAACCCAACCAAACCAUGGCUGACUUCCUGGGUUGGGAGGAGGGGAUAUUACAGGUGGCUGUUUUUUUAAUCAGCUCAUUUAAUACACUUAUGCCCCUGUUGUAGAUGCUUUUCAAAUAUUAAUUCUCUCAAGCUUCAUGGCUCAUUUAAUACUCAUAAAUGAUGCUGGCAGUAAACUGUCGGGCAUCACCAAGGGAGAAGGAUGUGACACGAUUCAUUAUGAGACACGUGCCAUUCCGUUGCCGCACAAACACACCAGACUGGCAGAGGCUACCACACACCUAGGCUGUAUAGCAUGAACCGUUGGCCCCAGCUGCAAGUCAGCACAGCCCGUGAAUGCUCCAAAUGCCACAGGUGGCAGUGACACCCGGUAAGUAUUCAGGCAUCUGGACAUGUCUAGGCUAACAUGGCUGCACACCUGAAAUCCUAGCACUUGGGAAGCUGAGGCUGGUUGCCAUCUUGAGCUACACAGGAAGAACAUCCCGGGCUACAGAGUGAGACUCUUGUGGUGUUUUUUAAUAAAUAAAUAAAUAAAUAAAUAAAUA